GCCCUCGUGGACCAUGAUGGUCGUCUGGUUCAAAUUGGAAACCAAUAACCCGCGGAGGAUGGCCAGAAAGCGAGGGUUUGAUUCCCUCCGAGGGCA